rnacentral:rRNA from 1 species
AUUCAGUGAAUCAUCGAAUCUUUGAACGCACAUUGCGCCCAUCAGUAUUCUGGUGGGCAUGCCUGUUCGAGCGUCAUUU